UACGGAGGAUGCGAGCGUUAUCAGGAUUUACUGGGUUUAAAGGGUGCGUAGGCGGCUCUGUAAGUCAGUGGUGAAAUCCCGAAGCUUAACUUCGGAACUGCCAUUGAUACUGCAUUGCUGGAGUACAGUUGAGGUAGGCGGAAUAUGUCAUGUAGUGGUGAAAUACUUAGAUAUGACAUAGAACGCCGAUUGCGAAGGCAGCUUGCUAAACUGUAACUGACGCUGAGGCACGAAAGCGUGGGGAGCAAACAGG
rnacentral:rRNA from 1 species